UUUGAUUCCUUCCUGUUAUGUUGUAGGGCUUGCAGCAGUGUCCCCCUACCAGCCUCUGGGCACCCGUAGGUUCCCGCUGUAAGAGGUGAACAGCCUUGAAGUUGGAGGUCCAAGGCAUCCAGCUUCAUUUGUUGCAGUGUUUUCUCUCAGGACGGUUGCCUGUUUUGGCUCCACAGGCCAAAAGGAGGGUAAGAAUGAGGGCAACGAGGCGGCAAGAGCUGGCAAAGCCAACGCUGGCAGUGCAGGGCCAGCAGGCUGUGAAGGUUGGUCACCUUCCAGGGGAAUUAUCGAGUGGUGCUGCAUGCCAUGGAAGUGUGCAGCAAUGGGCAGAAGGACCGUGGUGUUCUUGACUCCUGAAGUUUGACUCCAGUUGUGGUACAAGAAAACGUUCCUGGAGUUGAGUUUGGGGCAUUAAAACAGGCAUGGGGGAAAGAGUUUCUUUCUUUGUCCACCUCCGUUUUGCAGCCACUUCCCUGUGCAAUCUUGGGAAAAUCUUGUCUGCCUCUGUUUUGCCCUCUAUAACAAUCAUGACAGACCCCUCCUUUUAGAUGCCUGGAUCAAAGGUACUAUAUAAGUACAAAGUGCUCCUUCUAUAGGGUAUUACUGCCAAAUUCGCUAUAAGCAAUUCCAUUGGGUACUUGAUAACAACAGUAGAAUCAGUCAGACGCCCUUGAUGCAUUCACUGCAUGGUCCCAGAUACCUUUCAGAGCCUCUUUGUGUGCCAUCCCACCCCCUGAGGUCCACGAGGAUGGGGCUUUUGGAGCCUGGAUUCUGCAGGAGCGGGAGGGGUGUGGAAAGCAUCUUCUGGCCCCUGAACCAUGGACCGCUUUUCUUUUGACCUGUACGGGUAACGCCAUUCUCCAGGCGUAUUUACGGACACCAUGGAAGAAAGGGUUUGAGCGAUGGAGACAACGGCUGGAAGCUCCACCGACACAACGCAACUACAGUCCAUGUAAUCUAUGGCACACUUCCUACAGUGCAAUCACAUGGAAAAGUCCUGGGCAAAGAAAAAAAUAAAAGGAAGCAAAGAACACCAGAUCUCAGCAAACCACAAGUGUGAUUCAACAUCUGAGUGUGGGCAGACUCAGGACCUGAAGACUGUGCCAUGCAUCAUGCGGAGGGUAAGUUUCUGCUGACUAAAAAACAACAACAGCAACAACCAAACAACACUCUCUCCUCCCCCAAACUAUAGCAAAUCUGAUUUGAACUAAGAUCUCUAUGUAGCUGCACUUAAUUUAUUCUUUCCUUCCUGAGUGACCCCUACUAGCUUUCAAAGACAUAAUAUAACACAUCCCCCUACCCUUCUGCUUCUAUCUUUUCAAAGCAGCCCACAAUCCUUGCUCACGGGUCUACCAGCUGAAAAGGCAAAACUGAAAGGAUUUUUUCCCUUUUAGAAACAUACACUUUACACACAUGCACUGGACUGCUGCCAGGGUCAGUGACAGCAUAUAACGCAGAGACUGAGAAGCGAAUGCAACCCUGUCUUGCUGGUGUUUUUCCUGGAGUUAGGUGGAAAGAUGGUUUUUGCAGGACACAGUUUGCUGGCAUCAAGCCAGGCUCCUGCCAGCUGCUGCCACUGCAUGGUAAUAAGCUUAUUUCUAUGCGAAAGACCUUAUUGUUAAUAAUUUCUGUCAGCUUCUAACCUGUGUUUUUCUUCUUAUUAUUAUUAUUUAUUUAUUUAUUUUAAAUCAGAUGUUUACAAGAAGUACUAUAGUUUUUUUAAUGGAGUAUUCUAAUGCAGUGUUAAUGAUUAUCAGCUCAAUCUGAUUCAUCCAACCCAGAAAACAACUUAGGUUGCUUUUUAAUUAUAAAAGCUGAAGAAAAAAAAUAAUACAACCCCCCCCAUAUUAAAUAUAUAUAUAUAUAUAUAUAAUAAAAAAAAUAUAUAAAUAUAUAUAUAUUCCCUU
ensembl:lncRNA